GAUGAACGCUGGCGGCGUGCCUAACACAUGCAAGUCGAGCGAACAGACGAGGAUUUUGCGCGUCUGACGAGAGGGGCGGGCGGGUGAGUAACAUGAGUAUAACCCACUUAUAAGUCUGGGAUCACUAGGGGAAUGCGGCUAUAACACCGGAUAAGAUAUUGAACCGCGGGGGUCGUUAGAGAAAGUCGGCUGUGCGGGAUCUAAUAGCGGGAUACGCGCCGGAUGAGCUAGUUGGUACGGUAACGGCUUACCAAGGCUACGAUGCGUAGCCGAGCUGAGAGGGUGAUCGGCCACACUGGAGCUGAGACACGGUCCAGACUCCUACGGGAGGCCGCAGUAGGGAAUCUUCCGCAGUGGGCGAAAGCCUGACGGAGCGACGCCGCGUGAGUGAUGAAGGUCUUCGGAUCGUAAAGCUCUGUUAUUAGGGGUGAACAGAUGUGUAAGUAAAUAUGCCCGUCUUGACGGUACCUAGUCAAAAAGCACCGGCUAACUACGUG
rnacentral:rRNA from 1 species